rnacentral:lncRNA from 1 species
GUUGAUUCUGGGAUGUCCUUCUGCCUGUCUUCCUUCUACCUCCAACGCUUUGAAGAUGCAAGUUCUCCCUUCAGGAAUCUCUCAUCAGGUGACUGGACUGGAGUACUCAUAUUACUCUUCUUCUCUUGGAAUCAAAGUUGCUUAAGACAACAUGAUCUUUCUCACACGUGCUUGCCAAUUCACCAUAAGCCCAGGGCUGCAACUUAAAAAUCUACUUUCACUGACAGAUAAUCUCCAUCAGAGAAGGCGCCUUCCUUCCCAAGAUCAAGGAAAAGUAAGAUGCUCAGCCAUGCAAAGAACUCUGAUCUUUCCAUUCCCAGUCCACUGUCAAUAAUGUCAGUCAAUGCCAUGUUUUCAGAAAUGCCGUCUAUACCCAGAGUGAACCUCUUGAACGGGAAGCAUGAUUUUAUCU